AAGCGGAGGAAAAGAAACUAACAAGGAUUCCCCUAGUAACUGCGAGUGAAGCGGGAAAAGCUCAAAUUUAAAAUCUGGCAGUCACUGGCUGUCCGAGUUGUAAUCUAGAGAAGUGAUGCCCGCGCUGGACCGUGUACAAGUCUCCUGGGAUGGAGCGUCAUAGAGGGUGAGAAUCCCGUCUCUGACACGGACUACCAGGGCUUUGUGGUACGCUCUCAAAGAGUCGAGUUGUUUGGGAAUGCAGCUCAAAAUGGGUGGUAAAUUCCAUCUAAAGCUAAAUAUUGGCGAGAGACCGAUAGCGAACAAGUACCGUGAGGGAAAGAUGAAAAGAACUUUGGAAAGAGAGUUAAACAGUACGUGAAAUUGCUGAAAGGGAAACGCUUGAAGUCAGUCGCGUUGGUUGGGGAUCAGCCUCACUACUCUGUGUGGUGUACUUCCCAGUUGACGGGUCAGCAUCAAUUUUGACUGCUGGAAAAAGGCAUGGGGAAUGUGGCAGCUUCGGCUGUGUUAUAGCCUCUUGUUGCAUACAGCGGUUGGGAUUGAGGAACUCAGCACGCCGCAAGGCCGGGUUUCGACCACGUCCGUGCUUAGGAUGCUGGCAUAAUGGCUUUAAGCGACCCGUCUUGAAACACGGACCAAGGAGUCUAACAUGCCUGCGAGUGUUUGGGUGGUAAACCCGAGCGCGCAAUGAAAGUGAAAGUUGAGAUCCCUGUCAUGGGGAGCAUCGACGCCUGGACCAGAACUUUUGGGACGGAUCCACGGUAGAGCAUGUAUGUUGGGACCCGAAAGAUGGUGAACUAUGCCUGAAUAGGGUGAAGCCAGAGGAAACUCUGGUGGAGGCUCGUAGCGAUUCUGACGUGCAAAUCGAUCGUCAAAUUUGGGUAUAGGGGCGAAAGACUAAUCGAACC
rnacentral:rRNA from 1 species